GUUAAGCGACUAAGCGUACACGGUGGAUGCCCUGGCAGUCAGAGGCGAUGAAGGACGUGCUAAUCUGCGAUAAGCGUCGGUAAGGUGAUAUGAACCGUUAUAACCGGCGAUUUCCGAAUGGGGAAACCCAGUGUGUUUCGACACACUAUCAUUAACUGAAUCCAUAGGUUAAUGAGGCGAACCGGGGGAACUGAAACAUCUAAGUACCCCGAGGAAAAGAAAUCAACCGAGAUUCCCCCAGUAGCGGCGAGCGAACGGGGAGCAGCCCAGAGCCUGAAUCAGUGUGUGUGUUAGUGGAAGCGUCUGGAAAGGCGCGCGAUACAGGGUGACAGCCCCGUACACAAAAAUGCACAUGCUGUGAGCUCGAUGAGUAGGGCGGGACACGUGGUAUCCUGUCUGAAUAUGGGGGGACCAUCCUCCAAGGCUAAAUACUCCUGACUGACCGAUAGUGAACCAGUACCGUGAGGGAAAGGCGAAAAGAACCCCGGCGAGGGGAGUGAAAAAGAACCUGAAACCGUGUACGUACAAGCAGUGGGAGCACGCUUAGGCGUGUGACUGCGUACCUUUUGUAUAAUGGGUCAGCGACUUAUAUUCUGUAGCAAGGUUAACCGAAUAGGGGAGCCGAAGGGAAACCGAGUCUUAACUGGGCGUUAAGUUGCAGGGUAUAGACCCGAAACCCGGUGAUCUAGCCAUGGGCAGGUUGAAGGUUGGGUAACACUAACUGGAGGACCGAACCGACUAAUGUUGAAAAAUUAGCGGAUGACUUGUGGCUGGGGGUGAAAGGCCAAUCAAACCGGGAGAUAGCUGGUUCUCCCCGAAAGCUAUUUAGGUAGCGCCUCGUGAAUUCAUCUCCGGGGGUAGAGCACUGUUUCGGCAAGGGGGUCAUCCCGACUUACCAACCCGAUGCAAACUGCGAAUACCGGAGAAUGUUAUCACGGGAGACACACGGCGGGUGCUAACGUCCGUCGUGAAGAGGGAAACAACCCAGACCGCCAGCUAAGGUCCCAAAGUCAUGGUUAAGUGGGAAACGAUGUGGGAAGGCCCAGACAGCCAGGAUGUUGGCUUAGAAGCAGCCAUCAUUUAAAGAAAGCGUAAUAGCUCACUGGUCGAGUCGGCCUGCGCGGAAGAUGUAACGGGGCUAAACCAUGCACCGAAGCUGCGGCAGCGACGCUGAUGCGUUGUUGGGUAGGGGAGCGUUCUGUAAGCCUGCGAAGGUGUGCUGUGAGGCAUGCUGGAGGUAUCAGAAGUGCGAAUGCUGACAUAAGUAACGAUAAAGCGGGUGAAAAGCCCGCUCGCCGGAAGACCAAGGGUUCCUGUCCAACGUUAAUCGGGGCAGGGUGAGUCGACCCCUAAGGCGAGGCCGAAAGGCGUAGUCGAUGGGAAACAGGUUAAUAUUCCUGUACUUGGUGUUACUGCGAAGGGGGGACGGAGAAGGCUAUGUUGGCCGGGCGACGGUUGUCCCGGUUUAAGCGUGUAGGCUGGUUUUCCAGGCAAAUCCGGAAAAUCAAGGCUGAGGCGUGAUGACGAGGCACUACGGUGCUGAAGCAACAAAUGCCCUGCUUCCAGGAAAAGCCUCUAAGCAUCAGGUAACAUCAAAUCGUACCCCAAACCGACACAGGUGGUCAGGUAGAGAAUACCAAGGCGCUUGAGAGAACUCGGGUGAAGGAACUAGGCAAAAUGGUGCCGUAACUUCGGGAGAAGGCACGCUGAUAUGUAGGUGAGGUCCCUCGCGGAUGGAGCUGAAAUCAGUCGAAGAUACCAGCUGGCUGCAACUGUUUAUUAAAAACACAGCACUGUGCAAACACGAAAGUGGACGUAUACGGUGUGACGCCUGCCCGGUGCCGGAAGGUUAAUUGAUGGGGUUAGCGCAAGCGAAGCUCUUGAUCGAAGCCCCGGUAAACGGCGGCCGUAACUAUAACGGUCCUAAGGUAGCGAAAUUCCUUGUCGGGUAAGUUCCGACCUGCACGAAUGGCGUAAUGAUGGCCAGGCUGUCUCCACCCGAGACUCAGUGAAAUUGAACUCGCUGUGAAGAUGCAGUGUACCCGCGGCAAGACGGAAAGACCCCGUGAACCUUUACUAUAGCUUGACACUGAACAUUGAGCCUUGAUGUGUAGGAUAGGUGGGAGGCUUAGAAGUGUGGACGCCAGUCUGCAUGGAGCCGACCUUGAAAUACCACCCUUUAAUGUUUGAUGUUCUAACGUUGACCCGUAAUCCGGGUUGCGGACAGUGUCUGGUGGGUAGUUUGACUGGGGCGGUCUCCUCCUAAAGAGUAACGGAGGAGCACGAAGGUUGGCUAAUCCUGGUCGGACAUCAGGAGGUUAGUGCAAUGGCAUAAGCCAGCUUGACUGCGAGCGUGACGGCGCGAGCAGGUGCGAAAGCAGGUCAUAGUGAUCCGGUGGUUCUGAAUGGAAGGGCCAUCGCUCAACGGAUAAAAGGUACUCCGGGGAUAACAGGCUGAUACCGCCCAAGAGUUCAUAUCGACGGCGGUGUUUGGCACCUCGAUGUCGGCUCAUCACAUCCUGGGGCUGAAGUAGGUCCCAAGGGUAUGGCUGUUCGCCAUUUAAAGUGGUACGCGAGCUGGGUUUAGAACGUCGUGAGACAGUUCGGUCCCUAUCUGCCGUGGGCGCUGGAGAACUGAGGGGGGCUGCUCCUAGUACGAGAGGACCGGAGUGGACGCAUCACUGGUGUUCGGGUUGUCAUGCCAAUGGCACUGCCCGGUAGCUAAAUGCGGAAGAGAUAAGUGCUGAAAGCAUCUAAGCACGAAACUUGCC
rnacentral:rRNA from 1 species